UGCACCUUGCUGGUGCCUGUUUCUCAGGCUGACUACUUUUGUUUCUUUCUGAAGCUUAGCUGCACUGAGAGGUUCAGGCCUGGACUGAAGAGGGUGACAUUUUCUGGCUGUGGCUCCACUCAGCUCUGAUUCAGCCGCUUUGCCUGGAAUUUUCCAAAGGGACUGAGGUUUGCCCAUCUAUUAGGACAAUGACCAGUAGCACAGGGGACAAUGCAUUCAGAUGUUACACCCAAAAAUAUCAAGCUACAAGUAUGUCUUCUCCUCAGGUGGAUCGCUGAAGAAGCUGUGUUAAUUCAAGAGCACUCCCACCUACCUGAUGGAUAGCAGGACCUGCUCUGCAAAUACUUACAUAGGAAAGUGAAUAGAGGAUGAAAAUACUCAUAUAACCUGAUGUAAAAAUUCAAGCUUGUAUGCAGAUGUCAGUCCUUCGAAACAGAACCUUACCACUUUGGCACUGAAAACAUAGCUUUCUGAUGCUUGAACUAAAAUAAACUGUUCAUUAUGAGUAGAACAUUGUUAUGGAAACUGGGGACAGACAUUAUGAGAUGACACUCACUUGUUAAGCCAACAUAUAACAUCAAUAUGGACAUUGGCCUUCUUUCUGAAUACAGUCCUGUAACAGGGCAGUCUGACCAUUUAAGGAAGGCAGACAGCCCUGGUGCAGGAGCCCAGCUGCAAGUGAUUAGCAGGAAGUUAAAAGCCCAAGGGAAGAAAGAGCUAGCAGCUUAAGCUGUGGAAGGAACAGUUUCCUGGUUGGAAGCAGAGUGAAACCCAGAGGACCUUGCAUCUAGGACGGGCCAGAACUAAAUGGCCAUCUCUUGCUACCUGGGAAAAGGCUAAAGGCUUGCUUUACUCAUUUGCUUGUUUGUUUGGACCAAGGAUUGUUGUUUAUGGUAUGAGGACUGGCUGUGGAGAUUCCAAGGCA